rnacentral:rRNA from 1 species
UCGCUCCUACCGAUUGAGUGAUCCGAUGAAUAAUUCGGACUGCAGCAGUGUUGGGAUCCCUAACGUUGCCGCGGAAAGUUUAGUGAAUCUUAUCACUUAGAGGAAGGAG